CAGCAGAACCAUAUAGCAGCGAAUUAAUUAAGGGGAUUAAGCGACAUCAUCUCGGGAUAGCAGAUCCUUGUUAUUUCGUGGAAUUGGUGCUUGUUUUUGUAUAUGUGACAGAAACCUGAAGCACCAAAGAUUGAGAAAAUUCGCAGCAAGGAACCAGGGACUUAUAAUUCAUCCUUUCUCUCCUUUUUCUACGUUUCACGUGGCUAAAAGCACUCGUGCUCAGAUACUAGAGCAAGCUCGCCAUAUUCCAUUGCCUCUAAGUGAAAGCUUAUCAUCAGAAUAAGAAACGGAAGAUAUUUUCAAGAUGGUUAACCGUACAUUGAAGCAUCUUGUUGUUCCUACAUUUGAUCCGAACUUACUCUGCAUACUGGCCAAUGAGACAAAAUGUGAGAUUAAGCCUGGUCUGAUUAAAGCAUUACCCACAUUUUUAGGCUUCCGUAAUACUAGCUCUUUGGGUUCGGUUUACAUGAACGAGGCGAACAGGUUUUUGAAGGAAUUUCACAUGGCAUGUGCAGUGAUAAAACCUGCUGGUGUCACCCUAGACCAACUCAUGUUAAAGGCAUUUCCUUUUGCCUUGACUGAUGCUGCUAAGGAAUGGUUGUUUGGUUUACCUUCAGGAACCAUAACAACCUAGACGCAUAUGCAAGAGAAAUUCAUAGAAAAAUAUUUUCCAGCAUCUUUGGCAGCUAAUAUUAGAAAAGAAAUAUGUGGGAUUCGAUAGGAAAAUGUAGAGACACUUCAUGAGUAUUGGGAGUGUUUCAAGAAGCUUUGUGAUAGUUGUCCUAAUCAUCAAAUCAGUGAGCAAUUAUUAGUACAGUAUUUUUAUGAAGGCCUCAUAGAUCCGGAUAGGAACUUAAUUGAUGCUGCAAGUGGGGGAGCCUUGGUUGAUAAGACACCCACGGAAGCAAAGAAACUGAUAGAAAACAUAGCUGCAAAUUCUCAGUAUCAAGGAGGUUAAAAUAUCAAAUCCACUUUUGUACGUCAAGUAAAUGAAGUGACGAGUUCUAACCUCAAGCAACAAGUAGCCAAUCUUACUUCCUUGGUGGAGCGAGUGAUGAUCGAAAAAGGGCAAGAAAAAGCAUGUGGUAUUUGUUCAACAAUAGGACAUCAUACUGAUAUGUGUUCUACUAUGCAAGAGGAACAAGAGAAUUCCGUUGGUGGUGUUCACGAGCCGCAAAAGCGAUAUGACCCUUUCUCUUAAACAUACAAUCCUAGGUGGAAAGAUCACCCAAAUCUGAGAUAUGGGAACAAUAGACGGCAAGGAGGAAGCUCCAACUUCAAACCACCAGCCUUCUAACAGCAGCAAACAUCCAUUCCACCACCUAGUUUCACUCAUUUUCAACCGCAAUAUCAACCAAGACCUCAAGGCCAGCAAGUUUUAUCUCAAUAACCACAAUCUAGUGGCAUGUCUCUAGAAGACAUUGUUAAGACAAUGGCCAACAACACUGUGCAAUUUCAGCAAGAAACGAGAAGUGGGCUGAAGAACAUAGAAAAUCAAGUUUCUCAACUAGUGCCUAGCCAACCGGAGAGAAACUCUAAGGAGAAUGCAAGUGCUAUUUCACUUAGAAGUGGCAAGCAACUAGAGGUUCCAGCAAUAAGCUAGACUGAAGUGGUGCGACAACAAGAAAAAGAAGAGACAACUGCAGUAGAGAAAGUAGAGCAGCAAUCUGAGGUAAGUAAUUAUGCUUCUACUCAUAAUAAUUCUUUUUCUUCUCCUGUUCCUUUUCCUAGUAGGUUAGAAACUAAAAAUAAGAAGCAAGAGUUAGAAAAGGAAGUGUUGGAUGUUUUUCGCAAGGUGGAGAUAAACAUACCUUUACUAGAAGCGAUAAGACAAGUGCCACGCUAUGCUAAGUUCAUGAAGGAUUUGUGCACUAACAAGUGGAGAUUGAAUGGAGAUGAAAAGGUCAGCAUAAGGGAGAAUGUAUCUGUUGUCUUAUAGAGGAAAAUUCCUCCAAAUUCCAAGGAUCCAGGUAUUUUUACUAUACCAUGUAGAAUUGGUAACUCGAGGUAUGAGAGGUGUAUGUAAAAUGUAGGAGCUUCUAUUAAUGUGAUGCCUUUAUCUAUUUUUUAAGCUCUAAACUUAGGUCCUUUGAAUGAUACUCGUGUUAUCAUUCAACUUACUGAACAUUCUAAUACGUACCCUAUAGGGGUGAUUGAGGAUGUCUUGGUACAAGUAAAUAAAAAUGUAUUUCGUGCUGAUUUCUAUGUGUUAGAUAUGCCAAAUGAUGAAUCUCUUAAUGCAGCACCGAUAUUAUUAGGGAGACCUUUUAUGAAAACAUCUAGAACUAAUAUUGAUGUUCAUAGUGGGGUUCUAACCAUGGACUUUGAUGGGGAGGUUAUUCGUUUUAAUUUAUUUAAUGCAAUGAGAUACCCCUCUGAUUAUGAAUUCGUUUCUAAGAUAGAUAUCGUUGAUGCAUUAACUAAGCAAGUCUAUUUUCUUUCUGGUCAUGAUGCAUUAGAUGUUGUUUUGACUAAACAUGUGGAAAAAGAGCAAUACACUGACCUGCAGGAACAUUUUAAGCUAGAAGACGAAGUUGAAAAAGCUUUCUUUUCUCUAGAAAUAAGCAAGGAAGGUAUACUGAUCAGUUUAUGAGAUUGCCUAUUAGUUCUAAUAGGUUAUUGCCUUCCGUUGUGAAGCCACCUGAAGUGGAUAUAAAGCCACUGCCUGACCAUCUGAAGUAUGCUUUUUUAGGCAAAAAUAACACUUUACCAGUCAUAAUUGCAAGCAAUCUUACUUCAAUCCAGGAGGAGAAACUUAUUAAGGUGUUGGAGGAACAUAAGACAGCUUUGGGGUGGACGGUUGUUGAUAUAAAAGGGAUUAGUCCCUCUAUGUGUCAACAUAGAUACUUAUUAGAAGAGAGAUCUAAACCAGUGCGGCAAGUGUAAAGGCGACUUAACCCACCAAUGAUGGAAGUGGUGAAGAAAGAAGUUAUGAAACUUCUUGAUGUGGGGGUGAUAUACCCAAUUUCUGAUAGUUCAUGGGUCAAUCCUUUACAGGUUGUUCCAAAAAAGUCUGGAGUCACAGUGGUGAAAAAUGAUAAGGGGGAAAUGGUACCCACUCGAGUGCAAAAUGGGUGGAGGGUCUGUGUAAAUUAUAGGAAACUCAAUUCUAUGACUCGAAAAGAUCAUUUUCCUUUACCUUUUAUCGAUCAAAUGGUUGAACGUCUUGCUAGGCAUGCUUAUUACUAUUAUCUUGACAGGGUUAUUCUGGCUAUGUGCAGGUACAUAUAGCUUCGGAAGAUCAAGAAAAAACGACCUCAAAUGUCCAUACGGUACCUUUUCCUACCGUCGCUUGCCUUUUGGAUUGUGCAACGCUCCAGCUACUUUUUAGAGAUGUAUGGUAAGCAUUUUUUCAGAUUACCUUGAGAAAUUCAUCGAACUCUUCAUUGACGACUUCACUGUACAUGGAGACUCCUUUGAUAGUAGCUUAGAACAUCUUACAUUGGUUCUCAAACAAUGUCUUGAAACUAACCUUGUGCUCAAUUCUGAAAAAAUGAAAUUUUAUGGUUAAAUAAAGUAUAGUUUUGGGUCAUAUUGUGUCUUCUGAUGGAAUAAAAGUUGAUAAAGCUAAGAUAGACCUUAUUUCUUCUUGCCUUAUCCUAAUUCUGUUCGAGAAGUACGUCCUUUUCUUGGCCAUGCAGGGUUUUAUCGCAUGUUUAUUAAAGGAUUUUCAAAGAUUGCACAUCCGUUAUGCAGACUUCUUCAAGAAGUGGAGUUUUCAUUCGAUGAGGCCUAUAAGCAAGCAUUUAACAAGCUGAAAGAGAAGUUGAUCACUGCCCCUGUUCUACAACUUCCUAACUGAGAGCUUCCGUUCAAGCUGAUGUGCGAUGCUUCCAACUAUGCUGUGGGGGUAGUAUUAGGCCAGCAAGUUGGAAAGAUUCCCCAUGCCAUCUACUAUGCCUCGAGGACUUUGGAUGCGGCUAAAGCUAAUUAUACUACAACUGAAAAAGAACUUUUUGCUAUAGUUUUUUAUUUAGAAAAAUUCAGGUCUUAUUUAUUGGGUACUAAAAUUGUUAUGUUUACUGAUCAUGUAACGCUGAAAUUUUUAUGGUCAAAGGAUGUAUCCAAACCUAGGCUAAUACGUUGGAUUUUA